UCAAAAACAAACUAGACUCAGCCUAGUAAUCAGAUCUGAAGUUUUUAGAGAAUAACUCUUUGCAAUUCUCCUAUGGCAAUGAAGAAGGUGGUUUUCUUCGUUCUACUCAUGGUUUUUGCAAUUGAGUUCAUAGAAUGUUGUGAGAAUGAUCCAGUAUGUAAAGUCGGAGAUGUUGGAGAUCCAGAAUGUUGCUAUAAAUAUGUGCCAUCAUUGAAAAAGUGUGAAAUAGUGUGUGCUUCAAAGUCUAUUGGACUUCCAUCUUAUGUGACCGAGAAGGAUUGUUAGGCACAAUAUAAACCUAAUCCUGACUGUACGCUUAAAUGUUCAUAUGGACAGUGUGAAGAGAUAUGUGGUGGCAAUUAGAAAAAGUCGACAACCGAUGUACAGAGGAUUGAUUUGGGAACUGGUGAUGAGGCAGGAUUGGAUUUCAACGGUGGCUGUUAGGCUUGUGUCUGCGAGGCAUAUGAAUGCUGAUGGAUGUCACUUCACUUUUGCUUUUGAUGUAAAUAUUUAUGAGUUUUAUAAGAUGUAAUUAUUAUACAUAGGGGUUGUUAUUAAAUGGAUCUUGCAUACUUAUAAUUUAUAAUUUUAGU